GUGCUGGGAGAAAGUUCUCAUACUUUUGGCUAUCUAUUCAUUUUGUUUUCUUCUUCUUUUCCCUUUCUUGAAAAUUCAAAAUUUAUUAUUGCUGAAGUUCGGCUAUUGCAGAGAAUGUGGUGAUGCUUAAAUAGUUUGGUACAUGAUUAUUUGAAAACUGUGACAGAAAGUAUGUAAAAUUGCAUGUGGAUGAAAUACCAAACCUUGAUAGAAACACUCACUCGUUUCCGAUUCUCUAUUAUUCAGAUUUUUCUAUAUUAUUCAAGAUACAAGUGUGCAUUAAUUUUAAUUUGACAGAUAUAAAGGAAUUUUGUGGGCAGGAAUUUAUUUGUCAACAUGGAAUUUUUUUAAUGUAUUGUUAACUUCAUUUUCCACAAGGUAGAGUUGAUUUGUCAACACGGAAAUGAGAUUUUAUUUGUCUUAACUUGUGGAAUAAUGUUGCCAGUGGAAAAAAAAGAGUCAUAGGAGGAUAAGGUUUAGACCAAUUCUGCUGCUUUCAAAAAGAUGUAUAGAAAAACUGGUUGGUGGAAGUCAACAGUCAAGACCACAUGAUACCUUAUUUUAUAUAACAUGCUGGGAGUAUGAUUAAAUGUUCAAGGUGCAGAGAAAAGCUGAGUAUUUCGUCAGAGAUGACAAUUUCUUUCUUCAUCCUGUUGUUCAUGGUAGGCUUCAAAGUUAAUAUUGGAGCAUGCCAAAAUGAGUGCUCAGAAUUACGCUGUGGAGACAUACCUAUCAAAUUCCCUUUUCGACUCAAAGACAAGCAGCCUGAUCACUGUGGCUACCCCGGAUUUGAUUUAUCCUGCAAUGGAAGCAACAAUACGGUGCUUGAGCUGCCAAUUUCAGUGAAGUUCAUCGUCACUGAUAUCAACUACAAAUCUCAGGUAAUUCAAGUGGUUGAUCCAGAUGGUUGUGUUCCCAGGCAGCUUCAUAAACUUAAUCCGUCUGCCUCUGCCUUCCAAUUCAAAGGGGACUACCAAUCUGACUAUACUUUAUUCAAUUGUUCACCAGCAGAUAGAGAUUUAUAUUAUCAAAUUCCCUGCCUUAGUGGGACUAGCCACCAAAUGUUGGCUAUAGAUUCAGAUUCCUCGAUUGACGCAUUUCCUAUUUCGUCUUGUACCAAACUGUAUAACCUUCCACCUGUUUCACAUGAUAUAUUCAAGGCAGAACAUGUUCUUCGUUUGGAAUGGUUCAAACCAGAAUGUAAACAUUGUGAGAGGAAAGGUAGAAAAUGUAAAUUGAAGAACAACAAUCACACUGAAUCAGAAACGGAGUGCUUCAAUGAGGGCAAACAAGGUUCUUGACCGAAUAUACAAUCUGUAGGUGUGAUCCUGGGUUCAUUUUUAUUUCUGGUGGCACUUGUUUCUCUCCAUCGGCUGUACACUUCUGACAGAAAACAAACCAUGAUUGAAGAAUUUUUGGAAAAUUACAGAGCUCUCAAGCCCACAAGGUACUCUUAUGCUGAUAUAAAGAGGAUCACCAAUACGUUUAGAGACAAGCUGGGACAGGGGACCUUUGGAACAGUGUACAAAGGAAAGCUUUCCAAUGAGAUCUUUGUUGCUGUAAAGAUCCUCAACAAUUCCAAAGGAAAUGGGGAAGAGUUUAUCAAUGAAGUGGGAACAUUGGGUCGAAUCCACUACGUCAACGUGGUUCGAUUGGUUGGCUAUUGUGCUGAUGGAUUUAGACGAGCUUUGGUUUAUGAAUUUGCACCAAACGGUUCACUGCAGAAUUUUAUAACAUCAGCAGACAGCAACAACCAUUUCCUUGGUUGGGAGAAGCUGCAAUAUAUUGCUCUCAGCGUAGCCAAAGGAAUUGAAUACCUUCACAACGGAUGUGACCAACGAAUCCUUCAUUUUGAUAUUAAACCUCACAAUGUUCUUUUGGAUGAAAACUUUAAUCCAAAAAUCUCUGAUUUUGGUCUUUCCAAGUUGUGCGCCAACGAUCAAAGUGCAGUUUCCUUGACAACUGCUAGGGGCACCAUGGGUUACAUCGCACCUGAAGUCUUCUCUAGGAACUUCGGUAACGUGUCCUACAAGUCAGAUGUGUACAGUUUUGGAAUGUUGUUACUUGAAAUGGUUGGAGGCAGGAAAAAUGUUCAGGUCACAGAGGCAAACAGCAGCCAAGUUUAUUUCCCCGAAUGGAUCUAUAAUCUUCUAGAUCAAGGAGAAGACAUCCGCAUCCACGUUGAGCAAGAGAUUGAUGCUAAAAUCGCAAAGAAACUCGCAAUUGUGGGGCUAUGGUGCAUCCAGUGGUACCCGGUAGAUCGUCCUUCCAUGAAAGCUGUAGUUCAAAUGUUGGAAGGAGAAGACAAUGUAAAAAUGCCCCCUAAUCCUUUCUCAUCGACUGCUUCAACAAGAGACAAUGUUACAAUGCCUGCAAAACGCCCCCGCCAAGAGUUACCUGUAAUAUCCGAAUUAGAUUGGUUGGGCGGUGCAGCUGCUGUUUCUCCUCUUGUUGCUGAUAUGUCCUCUGAGGCAAUCAAUUAUAAUAACUACACCAUCCGGGUUGUGGAUGCCAAUCUUCACAAGGAUAACUGCUCUUCAAUUCCUCAUUAUUCCUUGUCCAGUUAUAACUUCAGUGACGGGGAUCCGUAUUGGAUUUAUCAAAGAAGAGGUAAGGGGGGGCCAUGGUGGGACAAAGUUCACGUGAAACUGUCAAAGCCUAUAAUAUUUCUGACCUGUGAAACCCCGGUGAUUUCGCCUCUCUAUGUGGAUACUGCUCCUUGCAAUGGUGCUAUGUGGAGUUCCACUUCCAAUGGGCAUUCAUAUGUUAGUGUUGAUGAACGAUUAUUUGUGUCAAAUUUGAGGGAGUUUUGUCGCAUAGAGCUUAUGUUUAUGAUAUCGUCUCAGCUUACAAAGAACAAUUCCUACAUAGACAUCCACAAUGAGAUGAUAUAUGGCUUUGAACUUACAUGGGUGCAGUGGGGUUGCUACAUCGACAGUGAUACCAACAAAGUUAAUUGCUCUCGCUUCAUCGAUUAUCUAUACGUUUCAUCUCAAUUUAUUUUUUCUUCUCAAUUAUUAUCCUCAGCAAAAAGUAUGAUUAUAUUGUUUCAUGUGAGAAUAAAAAUUACUCUUUCCAGGAAAGAAAAUUCAUGCAGUGUUAAACAAUUGGUCUCUAGUAUUCAAUUACAUAUACAUUCUGGUUGUAGCAGCAAAACUUAUUUCCAUGAUUCAUUUCGACACUUCCUUACAGGACUAGCACUUGGAGCAAGGGCUAUACUUGGGGCUCUGUGUCUCAUUGUGCUUUUAAUCUACAAAUUCAAGAGGAGGCACUUAUCAAUGUAUGGCAAUAUUGAAGAAUUCUUACAAAGUCACAACAACCUCAUGCCAAUAAGGUACUCCUACUCAAAUAUCAGGAAAAUGACCAAAGGAUUUAAGGACAAAUUGGGUGAAGGAGGUUAUGGUUCUGUAUACAAAGGGAAGCUCCGAAGUGGCCGCCUUGUAGCAAUUAAGAUGAUGGGUAAGUCCAAAACAAAUGGACAAGAUUUUAUCAAUGAAGUUGCUACCAUUGGAAGGAUUCAUCAUGUAAAUGUGGUGCAACUAAUUGGCUAUUGUGUUGAGGGAUCAAAGCGUGCUCUUGUAUACGAGUUCAUGUCAAAUGGAUCUCUUGAUAAACACAUAUUUCUUAAAGAAGGACCCUCAUCCUUAAAUUACAAGAAAUCAUUUGAAAUUUCGCUUGGUGUUGCUCGUGGUAUUGACUAUCUUCAUCGAGGAUGUGAGAUGCAAAUUUUUCAUUUUGAUAUCAAGCCUCACAACAUUCUUCUUAAUGAGACUUUUGUUCCAAAGGUUUCUGACUUUGGGCUUGCAAGAUUAUGUCCAUUAGAUGAGAGCAGUUUAACUUUGACUGCAGCAAGAGGAACCAUCGGAUACAUAGCUCCAGAGUUGUUUUACAAAAAUAUAGGAGGAGUGUCAAACAAAGCUGACAUCUACAGUUUCGGAAUGCUGUUGAUGGAAAUAGCAGGAAAAAGAAAGAAUCUAAAUGCAGUUGCAGCUCAUUCAAGCCAAAUAUACUUUCCUUCAUGGGUUUAUGACCAAUUCAGUGAAGGAAAGGACAUAGAGAUAGAAGAUUCCACUGAGGAUGAAAUGAAAAUAACAAAGAAGAUGCUUAUAGUGGCAUUGUGGUGUAUACAAAUGAAGCCUAGCGAGCGUCCUACUUCGAUGAGCAAAGUAGUACAGAUGCUUGAAGGAGAAACUGAAGCCCUUCAAAUGCCUCCAAAGCCUUUCCUUUAUCCACAAGACAAACCAGUGGUGGAUGAUGAAGACAAUCCAGAAACAACAUGGCCAUCGUCAACACAAUCUAAUGACGACUCUAAAGACUCAAUAAGUUUAAUUCAAAAUGCUGACAAUUAGCCUGAGUACAGGUACAGUAUGCCCGAGGAAAGGCUUCAUGGCCAACAUUUCAACUCUGCAGGGGCAGUAAUGGUUGUUUCGUUUUUGGUAGGACGAAUCCUUCUUGUAAUAUAUUUCUUUUAUGAUUUGUGAACUUGUUUUCAACAGUUUUUGGUCCUUCCUCCUUUAAAUUAAAGUCAAAGGUGUCCUACUCUUCAGUA